AGGACGAACGCUGGCGGCGCGCUUAACACAUGCAAGUCGAGCGAGAACCUUUCCUUCGGGAUUGGGGACAGCGGCGAACGGGUGAGUAACACGUGGGUAAUCUGCCCUUGACAUCGGGAUAGCCCGGGGAAACCCGGAUUAAUACCGAAUAGCCUCCGGAGCCCUCGGGCGCCGGAGAAAAGGUAGCUUCGGCCUCUGGUCAAGGAUGAGCCCGCGGCGGAUUAGCUUGUUGGCGGGGUAAUGGCCCACCAAGGCGACGAUCCGUAGCUGGUCUGAGAGGACGAUCAGCCACACUGGGACUGAGACACGGCCCAGACUCCUACGGGAGGCAGCAGUGGGGAAUCUUGCGCAAAUGCGGGAAACCGUGACGCAGCGACGCCGCGUGGGGGAAGAAGGCCUUCGGGUUGUAAACCUCUUUCAGGAGGGACGAAGCUACUCGGGUUAAUAGCCCAGAGGGUGACGGUACCUUCAGAAGAAGCCCGGCUAACUACGUGCCAGCAGCCGC
rnacentral:rRNA from 1 species